rnacentral:rRNA from 1 species
UCAAGAAGUUUCAUGCCACCCUGAACAAGCCCAAUCCCAUCUAAUCUCAGAAGCUAAGCAUGGUUGCGCCUGGUUAGUACUUGGAUGGGUGAUCAUCUAGGAAGACCAGGUGCUGCAGGUG